rnacentral:rRNA from 1 species
AUGACGGUACCCAACAAGGAAGUGACGGCUAACUACGUGCCAGCAGCCGCGGUAAUACGUAGGUGGCAAGCGUUAUCCGGAAUUAUUGGGCGUAAAGGGUGCGUAGGCGGUUUGUUAAGUCUGAAGUAAAAGCUAGUGGCUCAACCAUUAUAAGCUUUGGAAACUGGCAGGCUAGAGUGCAGGAGAGGCAAAUGGAAUUCCAUGUGUAGCGGUAAAAUGCGUAGAUAUAUGGAGGAACACCAGUGGCGAAGGCGGUUCGCUGGCCUGCAACUGACGCUGAGGCACGAAAGCGUGGGGAGCGAAUAGGAUUAGAUACCCUAGUAGUCCACGCCGUAAACGAUGAGAACUAGGUGUUGGGGAAACUCAGUGCCGCAGUUAACGCAGUAAGUUCUCCGCCUGGGGAGUAUGCACGCAAGUGUGAAACUCAAAGGAAUUGACGGGGGCCCGCACAAGCGGUGGAGUAUGUGGUUUAAUUCGAAGCAACGCGAAGAACCUUACCAGGCCUUGACAUCCCGAGCGAAGUUAUGGAGACAUAAUGGAGGUUAUCUCGGAGACAGGUGGUGCAUGGUUGUCGUCAGCUCGUGUCGUGAGAUGUUGGGUUAAGUCCCGCAACGAGCGCAACCCUUGUCUUUAGUUACUAACAUUAAGUUGAGGACUCUAGAGAGACUGCCGGUGAUAAACCGGAGGAAGGUGGGGAUGACGUCAAAUCAUCAUGCCCCUUAUGGCCUGGGCUACACACGUACUACAAUGGCAGCUACAAAGAGCAGCGAACUCGCGAGAGCAAGCAAAUCUCACAAAGGCUGUCUCAGUUCGGAUUGGAGUCCGCAACUCGACUCCAUGAAGUCGGAAUCGCUAGUAAUCGUAGAUCAGCAUGCUACGGUGAAUACGUUCUCGGGCCUUGCACUCACCGCCCGUCAA